rnacentral:rRNA from 1 species
GACGAACGCUGGCGGCGUGCCUAAUACAUGCAAGUAGAACGCUGAAGAGAGGAGCUUACUCUUCUUGGAUGAGUUGCGAACGGGUGAGUAACGCGUAGGUAACCUGCCUUGUAGCGGGGGAUAACUAUUGGAAACGAUAGCUAAUACCGCAUAACAAUGGAUGACACAUGUCAUUUAUUUGAAAGGGGCAAUUGCUCCACUACAAGAUGGACCUGCGUUGUAUUAGCUAGUAGGUGAGGUAAUGGCUCACCUAGGCGACGAUACAUAGCCGACCUGAGAGGGGGAUCGGCCACACUGGGACUGAGACACGGCCCAGACUCCUACGGGAGGCAGCAGUAGGGAAUCUUCGGCAAUGGGGGCAACCCUGACCGAGCAACGCCGCGUGAGUGAAGAAGGUUUUCGGAUCGUAAAGCUCUGUUGUAAGUCAAGAACGGGGGUGAGAGUGGAAAGUUCACACUGUGACGGUAGCUUACCAGAAAGGGACGGCUAACUACGUG